AGAGCGAACGCUGGCGGCAGGCUUAACACAUGCAAGUCGAGCGGGCGUAGCAAGUACGUCAGCGGCAGACGGGUGAGUAACGCGUGGGAACAUACCUUUUGGUUCGGAACAACACAGGGAAACUUGUGCUAAUACCGGAUAAGCCCUUACGGGGAAAGAUUUAUCGCCGAAAGAUUGGCCCGCGUCUGAUUAGCUAGUUGGUGAGGUAACGGCUCACCAAGGCGACGAUCAGUAGCUGGUCUGAGAGGAUGAUCAGCCACAUUGGGACUGAGACACGGCCCAAACUCCUACGGGAGGCAGCAGUGGGAAUAUUGGACAAUGGGCGCAAGCCUGAUCCAGCCAUGCCGCGUGAGUGAUGAAGGCCCUAGGGUUGUAAAGGCUCGUUUUGUGCGGGAAGAUAAUGACGGUACCGCAAGAAUAAGCCCGGCUAACUUCGUGCCAGCAGCCGC
rnacentral:rRNA from 1 species